rnacentral:ncRNA from 1 species
UAUAUAUAUACAAAUACAGCACUGAAAUGCCACUUUCAUUAAUAUAUUAAAUUAAGCCACUAACCCAAGCUAGCUUGGAUAUGAUGGAAACCUCUCGUAGAGUAAAAGGGUAAAAGCUCAUUUGAUCUUGAUUUCCAGUAGAAAUAUAAACUACGAAAACAUGACAUAUUGAUCCUUUUCAAUUUCUUAGGAAGGGGUGUCAGAAAAGUUGUUACAGAAAUGAAUAAAACGAGCCUGUCACAUAGCGAUAUUUCGGUGUCCACUGUCCCUAUCAAAAAAUAAAAUUACAAACAAAAUUCACCAAAUGUUGGAUUAUCCAUCCACCACUAAGGAGGAAUAUGGGCUAUUUUAUAUCAUACUGAAAUAGGUUAGUUUUGUUAUUUAAAAAAACAGUGGAAGAAAAGUGCCGAAUUAUAAAAUGCCUGAUUAUUCAAGUCCUUUCCAGUCUUUUCAAGAGAGUAAUGCAAAUAAUACUUCCGUAACAGUUGCCACGGUAAUAAUUCUGUAUAAGAGGAACUGCAGGUGCAGACAUUUGGUUCAUGUGCUUGGCCAAGAGAUUAGUGGUGCGAAGCCUCUAAGUCAGAGUCUCACCCAAAAAAAAGUAGCGAUAAAUCUGCUACAUAAAUCUCGUCAUUACGUAACUAUGGCCGCAUUGUGUCGUUAUUAGAGCUAAUAUUUCGUUAUAUACCCGAGCUGCUUAAUGAAAUGGUUAAAUUAUAAAAACCGGGUUGCUCUGUUUGCACUGCUACUAUGAUUUGUUAAGGCUUAUUCUCUGACUAGAUGAUUUUCCCCUUUUGCUAGGAAACGGUUUGCAGCAGCAAUAAUAUCCUU